UACGGGGGGGGCAAGCGUUGUUCGGAAUUACUGGGCGUAAAGGGCUCGUAGGUGGCCAACUAAGUCAGACGUGAAAUCCCUCGGCUUAACCGGGGAACUGCGUCUGAUACUGGAUGGCUUGAGAUUGGGAGAGGGAUGCGGAAUUCCAGGUGUAGCGGUGAAAUGCGUAGAUAUCUGGAGAAACACCGGUGGCGAAGGCGGCAUCCUGGACCAACACUGACGCUGAGGAGCGAAAGCCAGGGGAGCAAACGGG
rnacentral:rRNA from 1 species